CGUAGGUGGCAAGCGUUGUCCGGAAUUAUUGGGCGUAAAGGGCGCGUAGCGGUACCUUAAGUCAGAUGUGAAACCCGAGGCUUAACUUCGGAGGUGCAUUUGAAACUGGGGAACUAGAGUGCAGGAGAGGUAAGUGGAAUUCCUAGUGUAGCGGUGAAAUGCGUAGAUAUUAGGAGGAACACCAGUGGCGAAGGCGACUUACUGGACUGUAACUGACGCUGAGGCGCGAAAGCGUGGGGAGCAAACAGGAUUAGAUACCCUGGUAGUCCACGCUGUAAACGAUGGAUACUAGGUGUGGGAGGUAUCGACCCCUUCCGUGCCGCAGUAAACGCAAUAAGUAUCCCGCCUGGGGAGUACGGCCGCAAGGUUG
rnacentral:rRNA from 1 species